rnacentral:rRNA from 1 species
GAUGAACGCUGGCGGCGUGCCUAAUACAUGCAAGUCGAGCGAACGGGCGAGAAGCUUGCUUCUCUGCUGUUAGCGGCGGACGGGCGAGUAACACGUGGAUAACCUACUUAUAAGACUGGGAUAACUUCGGGAAACCGUAGCUAAUACCGGAUAAUAUUUUGAACCGCAUGGUUCAAAAGUGAAAGACGGUCUUGCUGUCACUUAUAGAUGGAUCCGCGCUGCAUUAGCUAGUUGGUAAGGUAACGGCUUACCAAGGCGACGAUGCAUAGCCGACCUGAGAGGGUGAUCGGCCACACUGGAACUGAGACACGGUCCAGACUCCUACGGGAGGCAGCAGUAGGGAAUCUUCCGCAAUGGGCGAAAGCCUGACGGAGCAACGCCGCGUGAGUGAUGAAGGUCUUCGGGUCGUAAAGCUCUGUUAUUAGGGAAGAACAUAUGUGUAAGUAACUGUGCACAUCUUGACGGUACCUAAUCAGAAAGCCACGGCUAACUACGUG